CUCUCUCUCUCUCUCUCUCUCUCUCUCUCCCUCCCUCUCUCUCUCUCUGUAUGUGUGUGUGUGUGUGAGAGAGAGAGAGAGAGACAGAGAGAGAGAGAG